rnacentral:rRNA from 1 species
ACGGACAAAGGGCAGCAAACUCGCAAGAGCUAGCAAAUCCCAUAAACCGUGGCUCAGUUCAGAUCGUAGGCUGCAACUCGCCUACGUGAAGUAGGAAUCGCUAGUAAUCGCAGGUCAGCAUACUGCGGUGAAUACGUUCCCGGGCCUUGUACACACCGCCCGUCACACCAUGGAAGUUGGCCAUGCCCGAAGUCGUUACUCCAACCCUUGUGGAGGAGGACGCCGAAGGUGGGGCUAAUGACUGGGGUGAAGUCGUAACAAGGUAGCCGUACCGGAAGGUGCGGCUGGAUCACCUCCUAA